rnacentral:rRNA from 1 species
GACGAACCACACGAACGUUAUUCGGAAUUACUGGGCUUAAAGGGUGCGUAGGCGGCCUGACAAGUUGGGUGUGAAAUACCUCGGCUCAACCGAGGAAUGGCGCUCAAAACUGUCGGGCUAGAGGAAGAUAGAGGUGAGCGGAACUUAAGGUGGAGCGGUGAAAUGCGUUGAUAUCUUAAGGAACACCCGUGGCGAAAGCGGCUCACUGGAUCUUUUCUGACGCUGAGGCACGAAAGCUAGGGGAGCGAACGGG